rnacentral:rRNA from 1 species
GAUGAGCCUACGUCGGAUUAGCUAGUUGGUAGGGUAAUGGCCUACCAAGGCAACAAUCCGUAGCUGGUCUGAGAGGACGAUCAGCCACACUGGAACUGAGACACGGUCCAGACUCCUACGGGAGGCAGCAGUGGGGAAUAUUGGACAAUGGGGGAAACCCUGAUCCAGCAAUGCCGCGUGUGCGAUGAAGGCCUGCGGGUUGUAAAGCACUUUCGUUGGGAAGAAAUUAUCAAAUAUAAUACAUUUGAGGGCUGACAUUACCCAAAGAAGAAGCACCGGCAAACUCUGUGCCAGCAGCCGCGGUAAUACAGAGGGUGCAAGCGUUAAUCGGAGUUACUGGGCGUAAAGGGCGCGUAGGCUGGUAUUUAAGUCGAUUGUGAAAUCCCUGGGCUUAACCUAGGAAUUGCAGUCGAUACUGAAUGUCUUGAGUAUGGUAGAGGAAAGUAGAAUUCUCGGUGUAGUGGUUAAAUACGUAGAUAUCGAGAAGAACACCGGUGGCGAAGGCGACUUUCUGGACCAAUACUGACGCUGAGGCGCGAAAGCGUGGGGAGCAAACAGGAUUAGAUACCCUGGUAGUCCACGCUUAAA